UACGUAGGUGACAAGCGUUGUCCGGAUUUACUGGGCGUAAAGAGCGCGCAGGCGGUCGAUCAAGUCGAGUGUGAAAGCCCCUGGCUCAACUGGGGAAGUGCACCCGAAACUGAGUGGCUUGAGUACUAAAGAGGGUCGCGGAAUUCCCGGUGUAGAGGUGAAAUUCGUAGAUAUCGGGAGGAACACCGGUGGCGAAGGCGGCGACCUGGGUAGAUACUGACGCUGAGGCGCGAAAGCGUGGGGAGCAAACAGG
rnacentral:rRNA from 1 species